UACAGAGGGGGCAAGCGUUGUCCGGAAUUACUGGGCGUACAGCGCGCGCAGGCGGACCGUCACGUGCCGUGUGACAAGCCACUGCUCAACAGUGGAAGGCCAUGGUACACGAGCAGUCUGGAGGCAGGGAGAGGGAUGUGGAAUGCCCGGUGGAGCGGUGAAAUGCGUAGAGAUCGGGCGGAACACCAGCGGCGAAGGCGGCAUCCUGGUCCUGUUCUGACGCUGAGGCGCGAGAGCGUGGGGAGCGAACUGG
rnacentral:rRNA from 1 species